AUCGUAGGAAACAACUUCUGAAUAUUUUUCAUGGAAUAUCUACUGAAAACUGGCGGACUAAAAUAAAACAAACUGCAUUAAGCUUAAGCUGCAAAGAGGACACUUUAUGCCUUCAUUUGCAUCUGGCUGAUAUGAUUUAACACGCAUGUCCAACCCAUUCGGUGUAUAUCUUCGCUCUGGCACUGUCAACUCCCCUCAUGGGCGAGGAGGUUGAGUGUUGCUACAUUAUCAUCGACAUUAAAGAGCGUUGUCCUUAUGCGUGUCCUCCCCUGACUUUUGUGCAUAACUCUGGCUCGCCAAACUGUUUGUAGUCGUAUUGUAUGACAUCGCUCUGAAGUGUUCUCAAAUGGCGCGUCUCUUCGCUUUUUAACGUUUUAAUGCAACCGCGAGAUUUGCGCAUUUUAAGUGAUUUAAUGGAUUUUGCAUGCAUUAAAUUGAAGCUAAGUUGUUAAUUGCA